CUUAUGCGCUCGCGUACGUGAGAGGGACACCGAGUGCCAGCAUCUUAUGCUGGUGUCCAGAUGUGUCUCUACAUCUGUUAGCAAGGCCCGGGCAAGACCGGUGCCCGCCGCCGCGGUCACCCCGGCGGCCCGAGUGGUGACCGUUAUUAUUGGGUCUAAAGGGUCCGUAGCCGGUUUGGUCAGUCCUCCGGGAAAUCUGAUAGCUUAACUGUUAGGCUUUCGGGAUAUACUGCCAGGCUUGGAACCGGAGGAGGUAAGAGGUACUACAGGGGUAGGAGUGAAAUCUUGUAAUCCCUGUGAGACCACCUGUGGGGAAGGCGUCUUACCAAAACGGGUUCAACGGUGAGGGACGAAAGCUGGGGGCACGAACCGAAUUAGAUACCCGGGUAGUCCCAGCCGUAAACUAUGCUCGCUAGGUGUCAGGCAUGGGGGGACCGUGUCUGGUGCCGCAGGGAAGCCGUGAAGCGAGCCACCUGGAAAGUACGGCCGCAAGGUUGAAACUUAAAGGAAUUGGGGGGGAAGCAACCACCGGGGGGAGCCUGGUUUUAAUUGGACUCAACGCCGGAAACUCACCGGGAACGACAGCAUUAUGGGGCCAGCCUGAAACCUUGCCUGAAUCGUUGAGGGAGUGCAUUGGCCGUCGCCGGUCCGACCGUUGAGGCAUCCUGUAAAGUAGGGCAACAACCGAACCCUUGCCAAUUUUCCAGCUUAUCCUCCGGAAGGUGGGAAUUUUGGGGGACCGCUAUUUUAAACAAGAGAGGUCCGGCUACGUAGUCAGAAUGCCCGAAUUCCCGGCUACACGGGGCUAAAUGAUGGACAAUGGCCCCUACCCUAAAGGGUUGUAAUCUAAAACCCAUCGUAGUCGGAUUGAGGCUGUACUCGCCUCAUGAGCUGAAUCGAAUAUCCCGUUCCAUUAGCCGGUGAAACUCUGUCUGCACACCGAGGCGAUCGUUAACUGAGACUGUC
rnacentral:rRNA from 1 species